UGUACUUCUUCAAGUUUUUGAUCAUAAUUUUAUGCAUAUGCUGGUUUUUCACAGCCUGUGCCUAAGUAACAGAGUUCUGACACACUGUCUCAUCACCUACCUACUCGAUUGUGUCUGCAGGUGGCAGUGACAACAAUACAACAAUGCAAUGAUUGAGAAGAGAAGAAUAGAGAAGAUGAGAAGAGAUAGAG